CCUACGGGUGGCAGCAGUGGGGGAUAUUGGACAAUGGGGGGAACCCUGAUCCAGCGACGCCGCGUGAGUGAAGAAGUAUCUCGGUAUGUAAAGCUCUAUCAGCAGGGAAGAAGAAAUGACGGUACCUGAGUAAGAAGCCCCGGCUAACUACGUGCCAGCAGCCGCGGUAAUACGUAGGGGGCAAGCGUUAUCCGGAAUUACUGGGUGUAAAGGGAGCGUAGACGGUGAUGUAAGUCUGGAGUGAAAGGCGGGGGCCCAACCCCCGGACUGCUCUGGAAACUAUGUGACUGGAGUGCAGGAGAGGUGAGCGGAAUUCCUAGUGGAGCGGUGAAAUGCGUAGAUAUUAGGAGGAACACCAGUGGCGAAGGCAUCUCACGAAUCCGCGAUUGACGCUGAUGCACGAAAGCGUGGGUAUCAAACAGGAUUAGAUACCCCUGUAGUC
rnacentral:rRNA from 1 species